rnacentral:ncRNA from 1 species
UGAUAGCUGUGAAGCGUGAGGUUGCUGCUUUAAUAAAGCAGGUUUUCCGUGGAGCGAAUGUCAAUGCUGGAGAUAAUUUCC